UACAGAGGUCUCAAGCGUUGUUCGGAUUCAUUGGGCGUAAAGGGUGUGUAGGUGGCGCCGUAAGUCGGGUGUGAAAUUUCGGAGCUUAACUCCGAAACUGCAUUCGAUACUGCGGCGCUUGAGGACUGGAGAGGAGACUGGAAUUCAUGGUGUAGCAGUGAAAUGCGUAGAGAUCAUGAGGAAGACCAGUGGCGAAGGCGGGUCUCUGGACAGUUCCUGACACUGAGGCACGAAGGCCAGGGGAGCAAACGGG
rnacentral:rRNA from 1 species